AUCACUAAUGACAGUAAUUAAGCAUUAAGGCCAAACAAUAAUUAAAUGCUAAAGGUCAUUAGGGUUAAUGACCUCAGGUCAUCACACAAUCCCAAAAUCACUCAACCCUAAUUAUGAGGAUUUAACUAAUCACUAUCUAAUUAUCUUGGAUUUAUUACUUAAUUACUAAAUAAGGGUUUAUUAAUAUUUUAUUCAAACAUUAUCCAAAUGCAACCAAGUUUUGUGUGAAGCCUGGAAAUAAUAUUCAGAGACUCCCCACAAAGUUUGGUGAUUUUUGGACAUACAGAUAAAUUAUUAAAAUUCGUAGAAGUUUUAUUUACUAAUUAAAAGAGCAAAUUUUUAUACACUUGCAAACUAUCAGAAAACAGAACCUAAUAGUUUUCUUGGGUUCUACAUAUUUCAGGGAGUCUAUACAAAAAUUUUCAUCAUUUUUGGAUCACCACACAAUUUAUUACUCAAUUUCAAACAUCAACCAUUUUUAAACAAAAAGGAAAAAGAAAAAAAAGUGCACUAUGCUGCACUGGCGGCCUGCUUGGACCCGGCCCA
rnacentral:lncRNA from 1 species